rnacentral:ncRNA from 3 species
AAGUCGUAACAAGGUUUC